rnacentral:rRNA from 1 species
UACAGAGGGUGCAAGCGUUGUUCGGAAUUAUUGGGCGUAAAGGGUGCGUAGGCGGCGCGGUAAGUCGGGUGUGAAAUUUCGGAGCUUAACUCCGAAACUGCAUUCGAUACUGCCGUGCUUGAGGACUGGAGAGGAGACUGGAAUUUACGGUGUAGCAGUGAAAUGCGUAGAGAUCGUAAGGAAGACCAGUGGCGAAGGCGGGUCUCUGGACAGUUCCUGACGCUGAGGCACGAAGGCCAGGGGAGCAAACGGG